AACGAACGCUGGCGGCAGGCCUAACACAUGCAAGUCGGGCGGACCCUUCGGGGUUAGCGGCGGACGGGUGAGUAACGCGUGGGAAUAUGCCCUUCUCUACGGAAUAGUCCUGGGAAACUGGGGGUAAUACCGUAUACGCCCUUUGGGGGAAAGAUUUAUCGGGGAAGGAUUAGCCCGCGUUGGAUUAGGUAGUUGGUGGGGUAAUGGCCUACCAAGCCGACGAUCCAUAGCUGGUUUGAGAGGAUGAUCAGCCACACUGGGACUGAGACACGGCCCAGACUCCUACGGGAGGCAGCAGUGGGGAAUCUUAGACAAUGGGGGCAACCCUGAUCUAGCCAUGCCGCGUGAGUGAUGAAGGCCUUAGGGUUGUAAAGCUCUUUCAGCUGGGAAGAUAAUGACGGUACCAGCAGAAGAAGCCCCGGCUAACUCCGUG
rnacentral:rRNA from 1 species